rnacentral:pre_miRNA from 1 species
UGAAUCUCGACCCUUCAAAACAAAUCCAACGGUUGAGAUUCGUCCACGUUAUCACGAGUUAAAAUUUAACUCAUAGACUCCGGAGUAAAAGUUUUACUGAGAGUCAAAUUUUGAGAGUCAAAUUUUAGGUACUGAGAAUUAAAUUUUAACUCGUGAUAAUGUGGACGAAUCUCAGCCGUUAGAUUUAGUUUGGAGGGCCAAGAUUCA